rnacentral:ncRNA from 1 species
AGUUGACGAGGGCGGAACAGGCAGCCACCACACCCUUUGGGUCUGAAAGAGAUGCAGGAAUGUCGUCCUGCCGGAGCU